AAAAAGUCAAAGAGCGCGUAUCUGUAUAAUGUACGGUUAAAGGGCUAUUUUGCAUUUUUUGCCGAUUCGCACACAUUGGAAUGUGGCUAUCUCCUCCUAAGGCUUUCGUCCCACCGAUACCAAAUUUGCUCAGGGCAAUCUACACCCCAUGCCCAUUCAAAGUUGUAAAAAUCAUGACGCUGCACCCCACGGUUUACGUUCUAGGAGGCGCCAAAGAUGACCCAAAAAUCCACAUUCUUAAAAGUCAUUUUGGCCACUGCAGGAGUACAGAGUACUGCAGUUCUAGGGGGCGCCAAAGAUGACCCAAAAAUCCACAUUCUUAAAAGUCUUUUUGGCCACUGCAGGAGUACAGAGUACUGCAGGAUACACACACAUAUACACACACGCCAACAUACACACACACACACACACACACACACACACACACACACACACACACACACAGACACACACACACACUCAGAGUCUGUUUUUUAGCACCUGCAAAAACAUGCUGUUUACAUAUUUGACAAGAAUGCAGAGGCUUCCUUUUGCCCCUGAAAAAAAUCAAAUUUCAAACACAACUUGACUGUUCAUUUCUCCAAAAGACAACCAUGAAGCUCCAUUUCAAACCUGAAGCAGAUAGUUGGUGCAUGUGUACAGUAACCUGAGGGGAGUGAGGUGACUAUUUCUGAGGAGAACAUGAGCAGUGAAGAUUCACCUUGGAGCUAGAACAGGGACGUGCACAUGAUUAUACAGGGGCAGGGGCUCAAGUUUUUUCCAGUCAUUUAUACAAUAUGGAAAUUAAUGUGAAAUUAAACCACAAAUAUGUGUGAUGAACUGUUUUUAAAACUUAAACUUCAAAUAAAAAUUGUAAACUUCAAAACAUAUGCAAAUUUUUAACAAAGAACAUAGUAAUUUACCUCUAUUUACAUCAAAAUGCAGGCAAUGGCCCAGGCGUUCUUUGUAAAAUUAUUUACAAAACACUGUAUAGUCUCACAAAUGUCACUUUUUAUUUAUGCCACUACAAAAAAACAUGAUGUAAAUGAUGCAUGAUGUAAAACAUGAUGUAAAAAAUUUGUGUAGAUCCUCCUCUAUGUCAGUCCAUGUGUAAUUUUUCCAUAAUUCUUUGUUUUUGCAGCAUUUUUGUUCGUGUAACUGCAGAUUGUGCUGACAGUGUCUAUGGCACAAAAAAAAAAAAAACUGAAAAUGCCUCAACAUGAACCCCUGGUGGUCUCUGAGGGUGAAACCUGCUAACUGCUGCAGCUCUGUCAGCUUCAGUCUCCCAUGCAGAGCUCGGAGCGCAUGUGUGGCUCUGCACCCUUAGCAGCGUUGCUAACUCCUCAGUAAGGAAAGCCUGCUUCAUGUCAGAGUCUCUAAACUCCAGAAGAAGUCGAUAAAAGUCACUUUCUUUCUAAAAAAAGUCGUUGGGGGGUCUGAAAAGUCAUUGAAUCUAACAACAAAGUCGCUAGGUUUGCAACUACGUGUCCCAGACUGCAUCCCUGCUGAGAGUCCCUCCCUCCCUUCUCAUGUUGCAGGAAGAACGUAAGCGCCCGCCCCUUGUCAAUCAGUCACCAUAUAAUUUUGGAUUGGUUGUUGUGGUGAAGUUUUCCACCAAUAGGAGAGAUGUUGUGGUGUGUUUUUUUUUUCUUUUGGCAAGCCUUUUCCGCCUGUAAGACCUGUCGCUAAUGUCUGCAUGCUAUGUUUUCCUGUCUCAUACAGCGCUAUCGAGCGCCGAACGUGAUCAAAAUAAGCAGAAAAAAAGUAUCGCGGACAUAAUUUAUCAUAACUCUGGUUUUAUUUGGCCUAUCAACACAAUUUAAAAACUGGUAUAUAGGUUGAGGUCCUCACUUUUGAGAUAAGUUGAAACGGAGAGUCAACGAGGCUCCGUCUUGCAGCUACAUCCGGUUAAAUAUGUCAUGUGACUUGAACGCACACACACACACACACACACACACACACACACACACACACACUCAGAGUCUGGUUUUUAGCACCUGCAAAAACAUGCUAUUUACAUAUUUGACAAGAAUGCAGAGGCUCCUUUUGCCCCUGAAAAAAAUCAAAUUUCAAACACAACUUGACGGGUCAUUUCUCCAAAAGACAACCAUGAAGCUCCAUCCAAACCUGAAGCAGGCAGUUGGUGCAUGUGUACAGUAACCUGAGGGGAGUGAGGUGAGUGCUUCUGAGGAGAACAUGAGCAGUGAAGAUUCACCUUGGAGCUAGAACAGAGACGUGCACAUGAUUAUACAGGGGCAGGGGCUCAAGUUUUUUCCAGUCAUUUAUACAAUAUGGAAAUUAAUGUGAAAUUAAACCACAAAUAUGUGUGAUGAACUGUUUUUAAAACUUAAACUUCAAAUAAAAAUUGUAAACUUCAAAACAUAUGCAAAUUUUUAACAAAGAACAUAGUAAUUUACCUCUAUUUACAUCAAAAUGCAGGCAAUGGCCCAGGCGUUCUUUGUAAAAUUAUUUACAAAACACUGUAUAGUCUCACAAAUGUCACUUUUUAUUUAUGCCACUACAAAAAAACAUGAUGUAAAUGAUGCAUGAUGUAAAACAUGAUGUAAAAAAUUUGUGUAGAUCCUCCUCUAUGUCAGUCCAUGUGUAAUUUUUCCAUAAUUCUUUGUUUUUUGCAGCAUUUUUGUUAGUGUAACUGCAGAUUGUGCUGACAGUGUCUAUGGCACAAAAAAAAAAAAACUGAAAAUGCCUCAACAUGAACCCCUGGUGGUCUCUGAGGGUGAAACCUGCUAACUGCUGCAGCUCUGUCAGCUUCAGUCUCCCAUGCAGAGCUCGGAGCGCAUGUGUGGCUCUGCACCCUUAGCAGCGUUGCUAACUCCUCAGUAAGGAAAGCCUGCUUCAUGUCAGAGUCUCUAAACUCCAGAAGAAGUCGAUAAAAGUCACUUUCUUUCUAAAAAAAAGUCGUUGGGGGGUCUGAAAAGUCAUUGAAUCUAACAACAAAGUCGCUAGGUUUGCAACUACGUGUCCCAGACUGCAUCCCUGCUGAGAGUCCCUCCCUCCCUUCUCAUGUUGCAGGAAGAACGUAAGCGCCCGCCCCUUGUCAAUCAGUCACCAUAUAAUUUUGGAUUGGUUGUUGUGGUGAAGUUUUCCACCAAUAGGAGAGAUGUUGUGGUGUGUUUUUUUUUUCUUUUGGCAAGCCUUUUCCGCCUGUAAGACCUGUCGCUAAUGUCUGCAUGCUAUGUUUUCCUGUCUCAUACAGCGCUAUCGAGCGCCGAACGUGAUCAAAAUAAGCAGAAAAAAAGUAUCGCGGACAUAAUUUAUCAUAACUCUGGUUUUAUUUGGCCUAUCAACACAAUUUAAAAACUGGUAUAUAGGUUGAGGUCCUCACUUUUGAGAUAAGUUGAAACGGAGAGUCAACGAGGCUCCGUCUUGCAGCUACAUCCGGUUAAAUAUGUCAUGUGACUUGAACGCACACACACACACACACACACACACACACACACACACACACACACUCAGAGUCUGGUUUUUAGCACCUGCAAAAACAUGCUAUUUACAUAUUUGACAAGAAUGCAGAGGCUCCUUUUGCCCCUGAAAAAAAUCAAAUUUCAAACACAACUUGACGGGUCAUUUCUCCAAAAGACAACCAUGAAGCUCCAUCCAAACCUGAAGCAGGCAGUUGGUGCAUGUGUACAGUAACCUGAGGGGAGUGAGGUGAGUGCUUCUGAGGAGAACAUGAGCAGUGAAGAUUCACCUUGGAGCUAGAACAGAGACAUGCACAUGAUUAUACAGGGGCAGGGGCUCAAGUU